rnacentral:rRNA from 1 species
UGGGGAAUAUUGCACAAUGGGCGCAAGCCUGAUGCAGCCAUGCCGCGUGUGUGAAGAAGGCCUUCGGGUUGUAAAGCACUUUCAGCGAGGAGGAAGGUGGUGGACUUAAUACGUUCAUCAAUUGACGUUACUCGCAGAAGAAGCACCGGCUAACUCCGUGCCAGCAGCCGCGGUAAUACGGAGGGUGCAAGCGUUAAUCGGAAUUACUGGGCGUAAAGCGCACGCAGGCGGUUUGUUAAGUCAGAUGUGAAAUCCCCGGGCUCAACCUGGGAACUGCAUUGAAACUGGCAAGCUAGAGUCUCGUAGAGGGGGGUAGAAUGUCCAGGUGUAGCGGUGAAAUGCGUAGAGAUCUGGAGGAAUACCGGUGGCGAAGGCGGCCCCCUGGANGAAGACUGACGCUCAGGUGCGAAAGCGUGGGGAGCAAACA